rnacentral:rRNA from 1 species
AGUGAACGCUGGCGGUAGGCCUAACACAUGCAAGUCGAACGGCAGCACAGUAAGAGCUUGCUCUUACGGGUGGCGAGUGGCGGACGGGUGAGGGAUACAUCGGAAUCUACUUUUUCGUGGGGGAUAACGUAGGGAAACUUACGCUAAUACCGCAUACGACCUACGGGUGAAAGCAGGGGAUCUUCGGACCUUGCGCGAUUGAAUGAGCCGAUGUCGGAUUAGCUAGUUGGCGGGGUAAAGGCCCACCAAGGCGACGAUCCGUAGCUGGUCUGAGAGGAUGAUCAGCCACACUGGAACUGAGACACGGUCCAGACUCCUACGGGAGGCAGCAGUGGGGAAUAUUGGACAAUGGGCGCAAGCCUGAUCCAGCCAUACCGCGUGGGUGAAGAAGGCCUGCGGGUUGUAAAGCCCUUUUGUUGGGAAAGAAAAGCAGCAGGUUAAUACCCCGCUGUUCUGACGGUACCCAAAGAAUAAGCACCGGCUAACUUCGU